rnacentral:rRNA from 1 species
UACGGGGGGGGCAAGCGUUGUUCGGAAUUACUGGGCGUAAAGGGCUCGUAGGCGGCCAACUAAGUCGGACGUGAAAUCCCUCGGCUUAACCGGGGAACUGCGUCCGAUACUGGAUGGCUUGAGGUUGGGAGAGGGAUGCGGAAUUCCAGGUGUAGCGGUGAAAUGCGUAGAUAUCUGGAGGAACACCGGUGGCGAAGGGCGGCAUCCUGGACCAAUUCUGACGCUGAGGAGCGAAAGCCAGGGGAGCAAAGCGGGAUUAAGAUGACCCUGGAGUC